AGAAUCAACGCUGGCGGCGUGCCUAACACAUGCAAGUCGAACGCGGUUAUCCCGCAAGGGGUGACUGAGUGGCAAACGGGUGAGUAACGCGUGGGUGACCUACCUUCGAGUGGGGGAUAACGUUUCGAAAGGAACGCUAAUACCGCAUGACAUCCUGCCUUUGGACAGGCGGAGAUCAAAGCCGGGGAUCGUAAGACCUGGCGCUUGGAGAGGGGCCCGCGUCCGAUUAGCUAGUUGGCGAGGUAACGGCUCACCAAGGCGACGAUCGGUA
rnacentral:rRNA from 1 species